UCUUCUCCCUUUUUCUUCUUCUUUUUUCUUUCUUCUUUCUUCUUCUUCGGGCAGCACCUUAACCCCACGUGCGCCUUUGAGGGUGUUUCCUCCACCUGGUACGACGGCCGGUGGUGGCACGGUGGCGAUGAAGGGAUGACUGGGCUUUCUUUUUGGACCUUUCUUUUUGCUUUUUUUCUUGUUUUUUGCUGCUGCGUUUUUGUUUUGCUUCUCUUUUUGUUUCACUUUCUCUUGGCUUCUAGGUGGUGGUACGGUGGCUGCGGUGGAGGGUAGUGGCACGACGGUGGCGAGGGCUGUUGGGCUGUUAUUGUUUGGAUUUUUUUUGAAUUUUCUCUGUGGCAGAGGAGGGCAUCAUGGCCUAGGUCAUCUGCUGAAGUAGCUGGAGGUGAGGGGAAGCACGCUCGGCUGCUGAUUGGGGGGGUCUGACGUGCCCAGAAGGACCAAAAUAUUUGGGCUAAAAAUGUAAUUUUAGGAAAAUAUGGGGCCAAAAUGUAAUUUUCAAAAAGUUUAGGGGUCAAAGUGUAAUUUUGAGAAAGUUUGGGGCCAAAAUGUAAUUUUAGCAAAGUUUGGGGUCAAAAUGUAAAUUUUUAUUUUUUGUAUUUUUUAUUUUA